UAAUUCACUCCGCAAUCAAGAAAUCGCCGCCCUUCUUCCCACAUUCGAUGGCACCACAUCCAUCUUCUGAUGAUUAUGUUCAAGAGAUUAUUCCAUUUCCUAAAGAAGGAGAUUAAUCCAUUUUCUAUUUCUUCCUCCUUCGAUUAGGUGGAAGAAAAUGAUGAAAUCAAUGGUCGUUUCAAGAUGGGAUUGUUUUCAAGAUUUAAGAUUCCAUAAAACUUGCAUCAAUGAUCUUGUAUCAAAAAUCUUGAAGAGCUGCUGGUGCAUAUAGCCACAGUCAGGGUAUUAAAGGAUUGCGCGACACCAUUGUUGCUGGUAUUGAAGCUCGGGAUGGUUUUCCUGCUGAUCCAAAUUAUAUCUUUUUGACAGAAGGUGCAAGUCCAGGGGUCCAUAUGAUGAUGCAGUUAUUAAUAAGAUCAGAGAAUGCUGGUCAGUGAUACACAUUUGACGAGCAACCAGUUCAAACUUUCCACUGUCAGUUGACUACCUCUCCAGAACCCAACUUCAUAAUCAUUAGGUUCGAUAUCUUCUUUAGACGUAGAUAAAUAAACAGGAUUCCAGUUAGCAAACAACGAUUGAGGCAGAUAAUCGUCGCCACGGGAAAGACCCGAAUCAUAACAAACGCUUUUCAGCCGUUGAAGUUUCCUCCAAACGACGCGGCUUCAGAUGAAUCAGUUAGGGCACAUUUUCAUCAUCAUUUUUUGUAAGUUUUACUAAAAGUUUAUAUUAAUUAAUCUGAAACUGUCUUGACGAGUCGAGUUAAAACUGUAAACACGUUUGGCUAACAGUAAGUCAUGUCAGUUUCUGUAUGCACUUGCUUGCUGUGUAGGUUGUAUAUGUAUAUUUGGGUGAGAUUUGAUCUUUUGAAAUUAAAUGUUCCGAUGUAUAUUGAAUAUUGAGACACAACAUGUAAGAAUGGGAUAUAAUCUAAUAUGCUAUGGGAAUUUGUAGGAAGCAUUCUCCAGUUGACAUAUAGGGUAUUAGGGUUCUCAGAAUCGUGUGGUUUAUAACAUAUGACCGUUUCCUAGAUGUGUGGCCUAACCUGUUUAUUGUAGAAACAAUAUACAUGUUGAGGUGUGUUUGAAGUUUGAACCAGUCAUCUAAGAGUUAAAUUUAGUGGUAGCCCAUAUAUGUGGAAUCUUGUAUUUGUAUUGGUAUUGGUAUUGUGGAAGGUGUUUUGUGAGUUUGUACGCAUAUGUAAACCCUUAUAUGAAAACAAGUUUUUUUUGGAAGUCAUAAGCUUAGACCUAUUUGAAAUGCUUAAUAGAUCUGCUACCAAAUAUAUAAAGCCAACAUCGUGAACUUUACUAUUUGCCUGCUAUGGAAGUCUUCCACAAUUCAUCCUCUAUAUUUGGUUAGACAUCAAUAAUAUUAACUUUUAAUUGCUUUUAUUACCAAAGUGAGCCAGUUGGGUAAUGGGUCAAAAUGAGUUGGGGUCAAAACAGGUAGUUCUAAAUGAUGAAAUUUCAGUUACCGACUUACCGGGCAUAUUUUUGCAAGCCAAGCUAGAGACCGUGAAAAAGGUGGGCUCUAAAUGAUGAAAUUUCAGUUACCGACUUACCGGGCAAUCAAAGUUUGUUUCACUAGAAGCUGAUUCACUCGACACACCAACUCCAAAUUAAUAAAUGAAUAAACUUUAUGUUAUAGUUUCACUAUUAUCUGGUUUGUGUAUCUGUUUUU
rnacentral:lncRNA from 1 species